rnacentral:rRNA from 1 species
GCUCUCACCCAUUGUGAACUUACCUAUCGUUCCCUCGGCGGGCUCAGCGCGCGGCCGGCCUCCGGGCCACCGGGCGUCCGCCGGGGACAACCAAACCCGAAUUUUUCGUGUAUAUCUGAGGGGCGAAAGCCCGAAAACAAAAUGAAUCAAAACUUUCAACAACGGAUCUCUUGGCUCUGGCAUCGAUGAAGAACGCAGCGAAAUGCGAUAAGUAAUGUGAAUUGCAGAAUUCAGUGAAUCAUCUAAUCUUUGAACGCACAUUGCCCCCCGCCGGCACUCCGGCGGGGCAUGCCCUGUCCGAGCGUCAUUUUCAACCCCUCAGGGGCACCCCUUUCGGGGGUUCGGCGCCUGGUGCUUGGGAUAGCGUCCUCCGGUGCCCCUGUCCCCCAAAUUCAGUGGCGGUCGCGCCGCAGCCUCCCCUGCGUAGUAGCACACCUCGCACCGGAGAGCGGCUCGGCCACGCCGUGAAACCCCCC